rnacentral:rRNA from 1 species
UACGAAGGGGGCUAGCGUUGCUCGGAAUCACUGGGCGUAAAGGGCGCGUAGGCGGGGAGGUAAGUCGGGUGUGAAAUCCCUCGGCCCAACUGAGGAACUGCGCCCGAGACUGCUUCUCUUGAGUCCCGGAGAGGAAGAUGGAAUUCCCGGUGUAGCGGUGAAAUGUGUAGAGAUCGGGAGGAACACCGGUGGCGAAGGCGGUCUUCUGGACGGUGACUGACGCUGAGGCGCGAAAGCGUGAGGAGCAAACGGG